rnacentral:rRNA from 1 species
UACGGAGGGUGCAAGCGUUGUCCGGAAUCACUGGGCGUAAAGGGCGCGUAGGCGGCCUGGUAAGUAGGGGGUGAAAUCCUGCGGCUUAACCGCAGGGCUGCCUUCUAAACUGUCAGGCUUGAGCACGGUAGAGGCAGAUGGAAUUCCCGGUGUAGCGGUGGAAUGCGUAGAGAUCGGGAGGAACACCAAUGGCGAAGGCAGCUCGCUGGGACGGUACUGACGCUGAGACGCGAAAGCGUGGGGAGCAAACAGG